rnacentral:rRNA from 1 species
UACGUAGGGGGCAAGCGUUGUCCGGAUUUAUUGGGCGUAAAGAGCGUGUAGGCGGUUUGGUAGGUCCGCUGUGAAAACUCGAGGCUCAACCUCGAGACGCCGGUGGAAACCAUCAGACUAGAGUCCGGAAGAGGAGAGUGGAAUUCCUGGUGUAGCGGUGAAAUGCGCAGAUAUCAGGAAGAACACCCGUGGCUAAGGCGGCUCUCUAGUACGGUACUGACGCUGAAGACGCGAAAAGCGUGGGAGCGAACAGG